CGUGUUGUUUAUGACAGCAGAGGACAGGAAGCGGCCCGGACGUCCGCCCGCCGGGCUCGCGGUGGUGGUCUUCCUCCGCGCAUCACCGAGAAAACCGUUAGCCUAACGAUACGGAUAGUCCGACCCCUUCAGCCCCACCCAGCGGUCGGACCCGAUGAUGCCACCACGGUCCUCGCCCCUCGCCGUCCCCCACGAGAUCUCCAAGCUGCUCGCCGCUUACAGAAGGCAAACCCAGGCUCUGAGAGCUGAUGUAAUUGGCCCCGAAUUGAACACCCACCCCAGGUCCCACCAGGAUGUGGACUCGCGUAUGUGGAGACCCUGGGACCCUCUCCCAACCAUCGUCCUCAGCAAUCAGGCUGUGGCCCUGCCUUCUCCGAGGUGGUGGUAAGGGGGGCUUGGUGCUGGGGGCCCCUCGGGGUGAGGGGGAGUCUGCAGGCCCGCGAGGAGCUGCGAACACAGGAGCUGGAGCUCCAGUGAAGAUCACUCAGGGGGGGGGAUCGACGGGCAUGUGGUCACGCACACAGACCGCAUGACAACAGGGCACGUGACUUGGGUGGGCGCGUGGUGGCCUGUCCCGGGAGAGACGGGGCAGGGGAGGCUUGCCCCCCAGCUGGCACCCGCUCCAUGGACUCAGGGGGCCCCGCGUCAGAAGGACUGCAGGCAAGGAACUCUGCCCUUCUGGCUUUUAAGGGUGCGAUUUCUGCUUUAUUAUUAAGAAAUCUCAUUUCUAUGCGUGUGCGCACACGUAUGCGUGUGAGUGUGCGUGUGUGUAUUUUGUUAAAGGAUUUGGACCCUGUUCUCCCGAGUCUCACCCGUUUACUGAUCUUGGAGGAGACUUCAAGGGUUAGAGCGCAGACCUUCUCUGCACCCUGCUGAGUCGCCGGCGCUGAGCCCCAGUCUGUACCGCAGGGUCCAUGAAAGCGCCCGCGCCUUGGGGACGUUGGGAGGAGUGUGUGGCCUGUCCUGGGCCGGCGCCGGCAGGAGCUCGGGGGCCCUGAGCUGCAGCUACGUCCUCCCUGCUCGGUCUAACCGCGUUCUCCCGUCGGGGAAGGGACGGGGAUGCAGGGCGGGCACGCGCACGGCGGUAAACGCACCGUCCGCGCAAAAGCACUGACUCAGCAAAGUGUCUUGCAUGAAAUAUAAGACUACUCUUUAGGGAAGAGUUCA